rnacentral:lncRNA from 1 species
GCUGUUCCUGCCCGUCCAGGUGUGCGAGGGAGGAAUGCCAACCCCUGAGUCACGGGCACCCCCCGCCUCCCUCCCCGCCUGGGAUAAAGCUCGUCCUCACCUGGGAUCCCAUCUCAUUUAUCGGUGGCUCCCACCUUUCCUCGCUGUCAGCCACCCCCCCCCACCUCCACCCCCCCGGGAGGGAGAGGCAGCAGCUCCGGGACGGCGAGAGGAGCGAGAACAAAGUUGAUAUUUGACUGGAGGGAACAGAAAUCAGCGGGGAGGUAUGUGGGAGCGCGGGCUGCCUGCCCUCCCCGCCGGACUGGAAGUUGACGUUUAACCGGAAAGAGAAAAGGGACAGAAAAUAGAGAGGAGGGAGAGGAAAAAGAAAAAAAAAAAAAAAAGAAAAGAAAGAAAGAAAAGGCCAAGUCUGGAAAUCAAGUGGCAGCAGCGAAGCAGCGCGUUCCCCCUCUGCCUUGGGAAGAAUUUCUUGGCUGGGUGUGUGGGUGCCUGUUAUUCGGGCUGUGGCAGAGGAUUUGGACACCGAGUCAGACCCGGCACUAAUGAGGAGGAAGAGGAUGGACGUCCUGCCACGGGUGUGCGCCAGGCUGCUCCUCCUGUCCCUGCUCUGUGCCACCAGCCUCUGCCAAAGGAGCAAAAAUAACCGCUGCGUGCUGUCCCGGGCAAAGAGCUGCACCGAGUGCAUCCGAGUAGACAAGGACUGCUCCUUCUGCACCGAUGAGGUGAGAACCUUGCAGGGGAGACCAGUGCUCUACUUCCCACCCUGAUGAUGGAGGGAUCAUAAAAUGGUUAGAGUUGGAAGGGACCUUAUAGAUCAUCUAGUUC